AUUGAACGCUGGCGGCAGGCCUAACACAUGCAAGUCGAACGAGUGGCGGACGGGUGAGUAAUGUCUGGGAAACUGCCUGAUGGAGGGGGAUAACUACUGGAAACGGUAGCUAAUACCGCAUACCAUAAGAUGUGCCCAGAUGGGUUUAGCGUGAUGGUGGGGUAACGGCUCACCACGGCGACGAUCCCUAGCUGGUGUAAGAGGAUGACCAGCCCCAUGGGAACUGGUACACGUGCCAGACUCCUACGGGAGGCAGCAGUGGGGAAUAUUGCAGAUUGGGCGAAAGCCUGAUGAAGCAAUGCCGCGUGUAUGAAGAAGGCCUUAGGGUUGUAAAGGACGUUCAGCGGGGAGGCGUUACCCGCAGAAGAAGCACCGGCUAACUCCGUGCCAGCAGCCGCGGUAAUUC
rnacentral:rRNA from 1 species